AGAAAUGCUGGGUUGUUUUGUCAACCCAAGUGCUGAAUAACAGCUGUUGGGUAAACGUGUUGGGUUAUUCUAAUGCAGUGUUGGGUUACUCUAACUCAAUAUUGGUACAGUGGGGAACAUCUAUGCUACUCUGCUGAUUGGGUUAUUAGUUAGGUUACACAAUAACCCAACUCACUGGUUUAUUGUACCCAACACUGUGUUGCCCUGCUACGUUUGAAAUCAGAGUUCCCUGCAGAUAACGUUCUUUCUGCCUGCCCGCCCUGGAAGAAGUGAACUGACCGGAGUCUUCAACAAAAAUGAAGCUACGAAAAGAAGGAAGGAGACGUCCAGGACUGAACAGAGCUGUCACCUGUCACAGUGCAGUGCACCGACUGACUGCCGCUAUUUGCUUGGAUGUUGCUGAAAGAAAGGAGGCAUUCUUCAUUGUGC